UUUAGACUUGCAUGCAUGUAUGAUUGGUUUAGAAACAAAUAAUUUUGGGCACCAAAAUGAUGAAAAAGAAAUAAAGGCAACUAAACCUUCUAAGUUGGGUAAUCCUCACCCGGUUAUUUAGCGUAACGGCGGUUGAACCUCAAAUGUCGUCCCAAAGUGGACCAAUAAAUGCACAAAAGUGUGUAAAUUCAUCGAAAAAGAAAAAAAUAAUAAAAAG
rnacentral:lncRNA from 1 species